AUUAAACUGAAGAGUUUGAUCCUGGCUCAGAUUGAACGCUGGCGGCAUGCCUUACACAUGCAAGUCGAACGGCAGCACGGGUGCUUGCACCUGGUGGCGAGUGGCGAACGGGUGAGUAAUACAUCGGAACGUACCUUAUCGUGGGGGAUAACGCAGCGAAAGUUGCGCUAAUACCGCAUACGCCCUGAGGGGGAAAGCGGGGGACCGUAAGGCCUCGCGCGAUUAGAGCGGCCGAUGUCUGAUUAGCUUGUUGGUGAGGUAAAAGCUCACCAAGGCGAUGAUCAGUAGCUGGUCUGAGAGGACGAUCAGCCACACUGGGACUGAGACACGGCCCAGACUCCUACGGGAGGCAGCAGUGGGGAAUUUUGGACAAUGGGGGCAACCCUGAUCCAGCAAUGCCGCGUGAGUGAAGAAGGCCUUCGGGUUGUAAAGCUCUUUUGUCAGGGAAGAAACAGCAGCUCUAACACAGUCUGCGAAUGACGGUACCUGAAGAAUAAGCACCGGCUAACUACGUGCCAGCAGCCGCGGUAAUACGUAGGGUGCGAGCGUUAAUCGGAAUUACUGGGCGUAAAGCGUGCGCAGGCGGUUAUACAAGACAGGCGUGAAAUCCCCGGGCUUAACCUGGGAAUGGCGUCUGUGACUGUAUAGCUAGAGUGUGUCAGAGGGGGGUGGAAUUCCACGUGUAGCAGUGAAAUGCGUAGAUAUGUGGAGGAACACCAAUGGCGAAGGCAGCCCCCUGGGAUAACACUGACGCUCAUGCACGAAAGCGUGGG
rnacentral:rRNA from 1 species